UCCGCUGACGACCGGCGCACGGGUGCGUAACGCGUAUGCAACCUACCUUCUACAGGGGGAUAGUCAAUAGAAAUGUUGAAUAAUACCCCAUACGAUCUUUGAAUAGCAUUAUUUAAAGAAGAAAGCUCCGGCGGUAGAAGAUGGGCAUGCGUCCUAUUAGUUAGUUGGUAAGGUAACGGCUUACCAAGACUUCGAUAGGUAGGGGUCCUGAGAGGGAGACCCCCCACACUGGUACUGAGACACGGACCAGACUCCUACGGGAGGCAGCAGUGAGGAAUAUUGGACAAUGGAGGCAACUCUGAUCCAGCCAUGCCGCGUGCAGGAAGACUGCCCUAUGGGUUGUAAACUGCUUUUAUACAGGAAGAAAUAUACCUACGUGUAGGUAUUUGACGGUACUGUACGAAUAAGGAUCGGCUAACUCCGUGCCAGCAGCCGCGGUAAUACGGAGGAUCCAAGCGUUAUCCGGAAUCAUUGGGUUUAAAGGGUCCGUAGGCGGUCUUUUAAGUCAGAGGUGAAAUCCUACAGCUCAACUGUA
rnacentral:rRNA from 1 species